CAAAACGUCUUAUAACCUGAAACGGAGGGAGUAUUAAAUAGACUUUUUUCUAAUGUUGUAUCACCAUAAGAUUAGCUAGUAUUUCACUCAACAUUAAGAACCUGUGGUGACAUGUACGUUGUCUUCUAACCUCUUUAUAGAUGAUAUUUGUUAAUUGGCACUGCUGUUAUGUGUUAAGGGUGGGAAUCAAUUGUAACCAUGAGUUGGACCAAUUGUUCGGCAUAGUCAGAUACCAUUGUCCAAAAGAUCAUGAAGGAAAGGUGCCAUUGUACUAAAUGUAAGUUUUCUAGAACUAAUGGAGGCAAAGCUCUCCUAUCCUCAUGGCCUUGUAUCUCUUUCUGCUUUCUAGGCAGUUGAGUCGAUUCUUCAUUAAUUACAUUAUCACUCCACAAUACAAUUAUCUCCCCUUUAUUUAGUGCAGGAUUCUGUUGUCCCUUUUAGUUUGGUCUCAUUUGUUUUAUGUAUGUAUAGUAGCUUUGUGGACACUAUAUAUACUGCCACAAACUUAUAUUCCAGUCAUUCCACUCCAUGUGCUUUGCAGAUACAAAUUCAUGUGUCUGCAAAAGCAUUGGUUAGUACUUCUACUUACUACAUUCAAAGUGAUGUUAAACGGCACGGUUUUCUUGGAUCUCUCUCUCCCUUGAAGGCUAUCUCAUGGAGGUUUGAUGUACACCAUUGUUGCCUAAGAAACUGAGAAAGCCUUCGGGGGAGGAGAGAAGCCAAGCAAGCCACAGUGUCUAAAUUUACAGCUUGCAUAGUUGCAUUAGCUCAAGUAACAAGAAAUGCUGCAUGGCUACUGGAGUUAAGCAACAUACUUUGUUCAUUGGGUGUUGGGAUUUAUUUUUCAAAAAUAUAGAUUACCUGAUUGUUUUCUCGUAAUAUGGUAAGUUUAAUCUUCAUAGACAGAUGGAUUAAUUUCUUUGGAGUGCAGUCAAGAAAUGCCUACCUAAGUAUUUCUAUCCAAUCAUUUUAUGAAUACAUAGAACCACAUAAAAACUGCCGAGAAUAUUUUAGACAUGCAUAUAUAUAUGUUAUACUAUUGUCUUGGCCAUAUUGAAUGGGUGCUUUUAACCAUCUCCCUUACAAGUCCGCAGGUAAAAUAGCCGGAAUACAAGAGGACUAAUAGGUUCCCAAGUUUUGCUGCUGAUGGAUCUGCACGCAUUGCAUCAAGGUGCUCUAAAGAUAGUAGCACUCUGCUUCCUUCUGUUACAAGGUUGAUCAUGAUCAGUAUGAAAUUGUUACUUUAUGCAUAUGGGGUGCUUGUUGAACUGCAUGCUAGUAAAAUAGCCAUUCUGGGGCAAGUGGUAUGAAAGGGACAAGCUGAUCGUUGGAUUCAGUCAGAUACCAAAUUGUGAAGGCAACAAGCAGCAACUCUCUUAGUUGUUCAUUUUAGCCCAUAAUCCAGCGAAGCAACUUUCUGGGUUCAUGCUGUUCCUUGUUUUGGCUAUAUGUUCUUUCAUGAUAUGUAAAAAGAUUAAAUGUAAGUUGAAGUGGCAUAGCAGGAUUAUGUAUCUCUACCAACUAAUUAGGUCAACAGAAGUGUCAAAAUUAUGUUCUUAGGAGCUGACAUACUCAUAAUGUCUCAUUUCUCUCUCCCACUGAAACAGUUGAAUAAUUUUUUUUGUCAGGCAACACCUUCUUUGUUCUCAUUUUCUUCCAUCCAUCCACAACGCCUCAUUACACAUAAUUUUUUAUGUAUUUUGUAGGAUUUUUUUUAUAGGAAUCAGAUGUAGAAAGGCCAAAUUCUUGUAUUCUAAAGAAACAUUACUUCCUCCAUUUCAGAUUAUAAGUCGUUUUGACUUUUGUCAAAGUCAAACUA